rnacentral:rRNA from 1 species
GUGGGGAAUAUUGGGCAAUGGGGGCAACCCUGACCCAGCGACGCCGCGUGGGGGAAGACGGCCUUCGGGUUGUAAACCUCUUUUGUACGGGAAGAAGGAAGUGACGGUACUGUACGAAUAAGUCCCGGCUAACUACGUGCCAGCAGCCGCGGUAAUACGUAGGGGACGAGCGUUGUCCGGACUUACUGGGCGUAAAGGGCGCGCAGGCUGUGCUGCAAGUCAGCUGUUAAAUGUCUGGGCUUAACCCGGGCAUGCGGUUGAGACUGCGGUGCUGGAGUGCUGUAGAGGCAAGUGGAAUUCCCAGUGUAGCGGUGAAAUGCGUAGAUAUUGGGAAGAACACCGGUGGCGAAGGCGACUUGCUGGCCAGCAACUGACGCUGAGGCGCGAAAGCCAGGGGAGCAAACGGGAUUAGAAACCCCGGUAGUCC